rnacentral:rRNA from 1 species
UACGAAGGGGGCUAGCGUUGCUCGGAAUCACUGGGCGUAAAGGGUGCGUAGGCGGGUCUUUAAGUCAGGGGUGAAAUCCUGGAGCUCAACUCCAGAACUGCCUUUGAUACUGGGGAUCUCGAGUUCGGGAGAGGCGAGUGGAAUUGCGAGUGUAGAGGUGAAAUUCGUAGAUAUUCGCAAGAACACCAGUGGCGAAGGCGGCUCACUGGCCCGAUACUGACGCUGAGGUGCGAAAGCGUGGGGAGCAAACAGG